UAAAAAAAAACUCUUCAAAUCCCAGUCAACCAGUCCCCACCCGUGAAUCGUGAUACUCUUAUCUAAUAGGGUUUUCGCCCCCUCUUCUAUAUCUCAUUCCAUGGCUCUCUGUCAAACCCAAAAGUCGUAACUGCAUCUUUUCUCUCUCCUCUUCGAGUUUCUGAGGCUGCUGUUCUACAUUAUCGAGAUCCAUAGAGGUUCUCAAUAUGGUGGCUGAGGUUGAUCUCUCUCUUGCUGUCGUGUCUGUCUCGCCAGAGACCUUUCGGAGUUCUAGUAGUACAGAGACAAUGAAUCUACGCAAUACAGAGACAGAAAUUAAUGAGGAUGAAAAAACCUUUCAGGGAAUAAUGGAUAAGGAGUAUGAAAAAGCAGAAGACUAACCUUUGUAGUUUACUAUUGUGUAUUGGAAUUUGAUUAAAGCAAUGGAUGUGUUUCGUAAUAUUCUUAGCAAAUUAUUUCAAAUAAUAUAGUAUGUAAUGAAUUGCAUAAUGUAUGUUGUAUGCA